CAUUGGGGAAGUUAGAGGGGAAGUCAUCAGAUGUAUAGCACGGUUUUGUACUUUUGUUUACAUUCUAGAUAAUAGAGGAUACCUCAAACUUCAGCACCCGGUUUAUUUGUCAAACUUUUUAGCCUUUGAUAGUGAAUUACUAUAUGAAAAAUAUAUAUAGCUGGAAGCCAAAAGGAAAUAUGCCUAUGUAUGAAGCAAAGUGCUAAUUUGUCUGCGAUAAAUUAUUGCUUCUUUGGCAAUUGAGUUGUGUGAAGCUUGGAUAAAGAGAACUUACAGAGGAAAAGAUAAUGUUGCGGACUGGUCCAGGUGUAGGAUGUUAUUUCUGUGAAGCCGUGAUAUUGCUGUCAAAUAGUCUGUUGCAUUCCUGCUUGAUAUGUCGUUACCAAGUAUCUAGUGUUAGGAGAUUCUGGCAUCAUUCCAAGAUCUGCAGCCGGUUCAAAAAGUCUUUGCAAUUCUUUUAUCCCAAAGGUUAAGUAUUUUUUUUGGUGUACAAUUUGGUAUCCGGUACUCACUGACCCGACUAAUUGGAAUUCCUGCCGCGUAGGGCCUUCUAGAAGGUAAACACUCCCUAUCAUAUAUUUCUCCAUUCAUAGGGCUCGAACCUGAGACCUGGUUAAGGGCAGAGGGAAUCCCUUGGUGGUCCCAAGGGUUAAGUAUUAUUUUAUGCGUGAUAAAAUACCUUUUUCUGUCACCCUUUCCCUUAGUUUCUUUUUCUCCAGUGCACGUACUCCCUUCUGCUAGAAUAUAUAAUGGUCGACGUUCCCGAUUCCCCCUUUUUUGAUGGCCUCAUCCAUUUGAAAUACCAGGCCGUUUUAGUCUAAUUUCGCAAGUGGAUCCCCUUUUGUGCAUCAUUGACAAUAUUGAAUCCUUUCAGCUAUUACCAGUUUGUUAAUUUUUAUGUUAAUACUUGAUAUCAAGCUUGUUCUCUUGAAACUUCUAUUUGCAGGUUAGCAUUGGUAAGCAAUGGAAGGAGUUUCUAGAUUAUAGCGACUCGAUUGGCUUCAUAUUUCAUGACGACGCAAAGAGGCUCGACAAAGGUGCCAAGAAUCGUUAUACGGUAUAGUUUUCUUGCUACAAUGGGGGAAUGUAAAAAACGGAAUCUGUACUGGAAAGUUUAUAGACACUAGCUUUGUUUGUACAAUCAUCUAUACAUUUGAUAAGCUGCCAAUUUGAGUACCUCUUGUAUUAGUGUUUGUACUUUUAAUUGAAGAAAGUUGUUCGGUUUUGAAUUAA